rnacentral:lncRNA from 1 species
GAUUGGAGUGGGAAGAGACUUGAGGCUGUAUGCCCACCAGCAGCAUGCCAUAAACCAGAUAAUGAAACUGAGGUGCAGAGAGAUGGUGAUAGAAAACUACUAGAAUAUUGAAGCAAGAGAAAAAACGCACAGUAGCACAUCCACACAUAACUGUAGAGACAAGAGGAAGUAAGAGAAAUGGAAAACACAAUUGAGCAUGUGUGGGAAGGAGGUGGCUUUUUAGUCAAGGAAUACUUCUUGAGGGAGGUAUAUCUAUGAAGGGAAUUAUGCAAGAUGGCACACGUGAGUGACUAUCUUAGUUGGUACAUCAGGUGAUUUUCUGCAUGUCUCCUAUGAGUGCUGGCAUAACAUUAUAAAAAUGUUGAGUUCUAAGUUCAGCAGCCUGGAUAAUUAUUAGCAAAAAAAAAAAUAUGUCCAAGAAUUUACCUAAUAAACUUUACUACAAAUGUAGAGGCU